rnacentral:rRNA from 1 species
GACGAACGCUGGCGGCGUGCCUAAUACAUGCAAGUCGAGCGAACCAAUAAGAAGCUUGCUUUUUGUUGGUUAGCGGCGGACGGGUGAGUAACACGUGGGUAACCUGCCUGUAAGACCGGGAUAACUCCGGGAAACCGGUGCUAAUACCGGAUAGAUUAUCUUUCCGCAUGGAGAGAUAAGGAAAGAUGGCUAUUGCCAUCACUUACAGAUGGGCCCGCGGCGCAUUAGCUAGUUGGUGAGGUAACGGCUCACCAAGGCGACGAUGCGUAGCCGACCUGAGAGGGUGAUCGGCCACACUGGGACUGAGACACGGCCCAGACUCCUACGGGAGGCAGCAGUAGGGAAUCUUCCGCAAUGGACGAAAGUCUGGCGGAGCAACGCCGCGUGAGCGAAGAAGGUCUUCGGAUCGUAAAGCUCUGUUGUUAGGGAAGAACAAGUAUCGGAGGAAAUGCCGGUACCUUGACGGUACCUGACGAGAAAGCCACGGCUAACUACGUG